CCUUUUGAAUAUAAUUUAAGGUCUAAUCUGCCCGCUGAGAAUUGAAUGGCCGCGGUAUUUUGACCGUGCGAAGGUAGCAUAAUCAUUAGUUUCUUAAUUAGAAGCUGGAAUGAAGGAUUGAAUGAGAAAAUAACUGUCUCAAAUUAAUUUUUUUAGAAUUUUAUUUUUAAGUUAAAAAGCUUAAAUUUAAUUAAAAGACGAGAAGACCCUAUAGAGUUUUAUAGUUAAAUUUAAUUUAAAAAAUUUGUUUAUAAUAAUUUAUUUUUUUUUUAAUUAUUGUGUUGGGGUGAUAGAAAAAUUUAAUUAACUUUUUUUAAAUUAAUAUACUUAUUAGUAAAUUUUUGAUCCAAUAGUUUUGAUUAAAAGAUUAAAUUACCUUAGGGAUAACAGCGUAAUUUUUUUUAAGAGUUCUUAUCGAAAAAAAAGAUUGCGACCUCGAUGUUGGAUUAAAAUUAAGUUUUGGUGUAGAAGCUAAAAUUUUAGGUCUGUUCGACCUUUAAAACUUU
rnacentral:rRNA from 1 species